ACUCCGUUGGUGAACCAGCGGAGGGAUCAUUACCGAAGUUACCCUUCAAAACCCAUUGUGAACCAUACCUCUUGCCGCGUUGUCUCGGCGGGAGGCGCUGGGGCCUCGGCUCCGCGUCCCCGCCGGCAGCGCCAAACUCUAAACUGCAAAGCGUACUGCAUGUUCUGAUUUACAAAAAAAACAUGUUAAAACUUUCAACAACGGAUCUCUUGGUUCUG
rnacentral:misc_RNA from 1 species